rnacentral:tRNA from 1 species
GUCAGUUUGGCCGAGUGGUCUAAGGCGCUUGACUUGAACCUCCCGACUCCCAAGUCAGGGUUGGGGUAUAUCCCUUCAUGUUUAGGCAUCAAGUCUCUUCGGAGGCACAGGUUCGAACCCUGUAGCUGACG